UACGUAGGGUGCGAGCGUUGUCCGGAAUUAUUGGGCGUAAAGGGCUCGUAGGCGGUUUGUCGCGUCGGAAGUGAAAACACGGGGCUUAACUCUGUGCUUGCUUUCGAUACGGGCAGACUAGAGGGAUGCAGGGGGAGAACGGAAUUCCUGGUGUAGCGGUGAAAUGACGCAGAUAUCAGGAGGAACACCGGUGGCGAAGGCGGAUCUCUGGGCCAUUACUGACGCUGAGGAGCGAAAGCGUGGGGAGCGAACAGG
rnacentral:rRNA from 1 species